rnacentral:lncRNA from 1 species
UUCAGAGGUCACCGCUGUGUGUCAAAGGGAAGAGGGACGGGAGCAGGGUCUGCGGUCAGGACCUCGGGGCCCCUGCAGCAGUUCAUUCCAGGGCACGGCCCGGCGCUGUUUGCAAAGGCAGAACAGCGGGCUCAGAUAACCCAGCAACGAUUAAUGGUCACGUUCCCGAGCAAACUCCAGUUUCCCCCAGGAAGCCUGAUUACUUGUUGGGGAAUCUAAUUCAGAAGGCGGAAGAGAAAGCGGCUCCCCUCAGGGAACCUGACUGGAGCUCACCGCGGGGCCGGAAGCGGGAUGAGGGCCUGGCAACAGCCCAGCGCUGAUGCGGGUGUGACUCAGCCAGCGGAGGGGGCCCAGUUCGAUCCCUGGUUGAGGAUAAGAUCCCACAUGUCGUGUGGCCAAAAACAAUCAAAAACAGACAAGCAAAAAAACUAUGGUGCCUAUUUGAGGAACUUGAUGAAAUGGGAUGAUUCUCAAAGAAACAGGACAAGUGGGACAAAAUCCCAGCUAAUGAAGCAGACCCUCUUCCUGAAGUUCUAAGAAUUCCUGCCUCCAGCUUAGACCGGUAUAUUUAGCUGUCUACUUGACAUCUUCGCUUAGACAUCUACUUUUAAACUUAGCUUGUUCAAAAUGGACAUUCCCCACAGAAAACUUGUUUUAGUUCCUGGGCAACUAAAACAAUGCCUGUACACCACUAUUGUUGUCCUCCCUAUGUCAGUAAAUGGCAUUUCUAGUCUCCCUUUUGCUCAGGCCAAAAAUCUUUCUCUCCCUCAUCUGUUAGCUAAUCCAGCAGGAUGAAUUUACCCCAAAUCCCCCCAUUUCACACCAACUCCACAGGUAUCACCCUGGUCCAAGCACCCGCCUUCUUCCAC